rnacentral:rRNA from 1 species
UUAAGCGACUAAGCGUACACGGUGGAUGCCCUGGCAGUCAGAGGCGAUGAAGGGCGUGCUAAUCUGCGAUAAGCGCCGGUAAGGUGAUAUGAACCGUUAUAACCGGCGAUACCCGAAUGGGGAAACCCAGUGUGACUCGUCACACUAUCAUUAACUGAAUCCAUAGGUUAAUGAGGCGAACCGGGGGAACUGAAACAUCUAAGUACCCCGAGGAAAAGAAAUCAACCGAGAUUCCCCCAGUAGCGGCGAGCGAACGGGGAGGAGCCCAGAGCCUGAAUCAGCAUAUGUGUUAGUGGAAGCGUCUGGAAAGGCGCGCGAUACAGGGUGACAGCCCCGUACACAAAAGCGCAUGUGCUGUGAGCUCGAUGAGUAGGGCGGGACACGUGGUAUCCUGUCUGAAUAUGGGGGGACCAUCCUCCAAGGCUAAAUACUCCUGACUGACCGAUAGUGAACCAGUACCGUGAGGGAAAGGCGAAAAGAACCCCGGCGAGGGGAGUGAAAAAGAACCUGAAACCGUGUACGUACAAGCAGUGGGAGCACCCUUUGGGGUGUGACUGCGUACCUUUUGUAUAAUGGGUCAGCGACUUAUAUUCUGUAGCAAGGUUAACCGUAUAGGGGAGCCGGAGGGAAACCGAGUCUUAACCGGGCGUUAAGUUGCAGGGUAUAGACCCGAAACCCGGUGAUCUAGCCAUGGGCAGGUUGAAGGUUGGGUAACACUAACUGGAGGACCGAACCGACUAAUGUUGAAAAAUUAGCGGAUGACCUGUGGCUGGGGGUGAAAGGCCAAUCAAACCGGGAGAUAGCUGGUUCUCCCCGAAAGCUAUUUAGGUAGCGCCUCGUGAAUUCAUCUCCGGGGGUAGAGCACUGUUUCGGCUAGGGGGCCAUCCCGGCUUACCAACCCGAUGCAAACUGCGAAUACCGGAGAAUGUUAUCACGGGAGACACACGGCGGGUGCUAACGUCCGUCGUGAAGAGGGAAACAACCCAGACCGCCAGCUAAGGUCCCAAAGUCAUGGUUAAGUGGGAAACGAUGUGGGAAGGCCCAGACAGCCAGGAUGUUGGCUUAGAAGCAGCCAUCAUUUAAAGAAAGCGUAAUAGCUCACUGGUCGAGUCGGCCUGCGCGGAAGAUGUAACGGGGCUAAACCAUGCACCGAAGCUGCGGCAGCGACGCUGAUGCGUUGUUGGGUAGGGGAGCGUUCUGUAAGCCUGUGAAGGUGGCCUGUGAGGGUUGCUGGAGGUAUCAGAAGUGCGAAUGCUGACAUAAGUAACGAUAAAGCGGGUGAAAAGCCCGCUCGCCGGAAGACCAAGGGUUCCUGUCCAACGUUAAUCGGGGCAGGGUGAGUCGACCCCUAAGGCGAGGCCGAAAGGCGUAGUCGAUGGGAAACGGGUUAAUAUUCCCGUACUUGGUGUUACUGCGAAGGGGGGACGGAGAAGGCUAUGUUGGCCGGGCGACGGUUGUCCCGGUUUAAGCGUGUAGGCUGGUUUUCCAGGCAAAUCCGGAAAAUCAAGGCUGAGGCGUGAUGACGAGGCACUACGGUGCUGAAGCAACAAAUGCCCUGCUUCCAGGAAAAGCCUCUAAGCAUCAGGUAACAUCAAAUCGUACCCCAAACCGACACAGGUGGUCAGGUAGAGAAUACCAAGGCGCUUGAGAGAACUCGGGUGAAGGAACUAGGCAAAAUGGUGCCGUAACUUCGGGAGAAGGCACGCUGACAUGUAGGUGAAGUGAUUUACUCAUGGAGCUGAAGUCAGUCGAAGAUACCAGCUGGCUGCAACUGUUUAUUAAAAACACAGCACUGUGCAAACACGAAAGUGGACGUAUACGGUGUGACGCCUGCCCGGUGCCGGAAGGUUAAUUGAUGGGGUCAGCGCAAGCGAAGCUCCUGAUCGAAGCCCCGGUAAACGGCGGCCGUAACUAUAACGGUCCUAAGGUAGCGAAAUUCCUUGUCGGGUAAGUUCCGACCUGCACGAAUGGCGUAAUGAUGGCCAGGCUGUCUCCACCCGAGACUCAGUGAAAUUGAACUCGCUGUGAAGAUGCAGUGUACCCGCGGCAAGACGGAAAGACCCCGUGAACCUUUACUAUAGCUUGACACUGAACAUUGAGCCUUGAUGUGUAGGAUAGGUGGGAGGCUUUGAAGUGUGGACGCCAGUCUGCAUGGAGCCGGCCUUGAAAUACCACCCUUUAAUGUUUGAUGUUCUAACGUGGACCCGUGAUCCGGGUUGCGGACAGUGUCUGGUGGGUAGUUUGACUGGGGCGGUCUCCUCCUAAAGAGUAACGGAGGAGCACGAAGGUUGGCUAAUCCUGGUCGGACAUCAGGAGGUUAGUGCAAUGGCAUAAGCCAGCUUGACUGCGAGCGUGACGGCGCGAGCAGGUGCGAAAGCAGGUCAUAGUGAUCCGGUGGUUCUGAAUGGAAGGGCCAUCGCUCAACGGAUAAAAGGUACUCCGGGGAUAACAGGCUGAUACCGCCCAAGAGUUCAUAUCGACGGCGGUGUUUGGCACCUCGAUGUCGGCUCAUCACAUCCUGGGGCUGAAGUAGGUCCCAAGGGUAUGGCUGUUCGCCAUUUAAAGUGGUACGCGAGCUGGGUUUAGAACGUCGUGAGACAGUUCGGUCCCUAUCUGCCGUGGGCGCUGGAGAACUGAGGGGGGCUGCUCCUAGUACGAGAGGACCGGAGUGGACGCAUCACUGGUGUUCGGGUUGUCAUGCCAAUGGCACUGCCCGGUAGCUAAAUGCGGAAGAGAUAAGUGCUGAAAGCAUCUAAGCACGAAACUUGCCCCGAGAUGAGUUCUCCCUGAGACUUAGAGUCUCCUGAAGGAACGUUGAAGACGACGACGUUGAUAGGCCGGGUGUGUAAGCGCAGCGAUGCGUUGAGCUAACCGGUACUAAUGAACCGUGAGGCUUAACCUU